rnacentral:rRNA from 1 species
AGAAUCAACGCUGGCGGCGUGCCUAACACAUGCAAGUCGCACGAGAAAGUGGAGCAAUCCAUGAGUAAAGUGGCGCACGGGUGAGUAACACGUGAAUAAUCUACCUCCGAGUGGGGAAAUAACUGAGAGAAAUCUUAGCUAAUACCGCAUAAUACCCACGGGUCAAAGCAGCAAUGCGCUUGGAGAGGAGUUCGCGGCCGAUUAGUUAGUUGGCGGGUAAUGGCCCACCAAGACGAUGAUCGGUA